UCAUCUCUCUGACCUCCUCCGUCCGCCUCCCUCUCUCUUCAAGAAACGCACACACACAGCACAUCUCAUCUCUCUCCCUCUCCUCGUUUCUGCCGCCGCCGCCCGAGAUCGGCGAAGGUCCGGCAUAUCGCCGUCGUCCUGCUCCUGUCCCGGUGAAUCGACGGCAGCCGCGCCUCCUCACGGCCCAUCCCCUCUCGGUAUCUCUCUCCCUCUCCUCGUGCUCGCGGUGGGCAGUCACCCCGGCGACCACAGUGCCGCCGCGACGACCUCAACAGCACCGCUGCCUGCUCUUCUUUCUCCCCCUCGGCCGGUCGAGCAACGGCAUCCCGAAGGGCCGCCGCUCGUGCCGCUGCUUCCGCCGCGUCGCCGCCGUCUCUGCCGGAGAAGAUAAGUCCUUUCCCCUUUCCUACUUAUUCCCCUUUUCUCUCUUUUCUAAAUCUAAAACUCAAUUAAUCUUUCUCCUCUCCUCCCAAUGUCUGACAGAAAAAGAAAAGGCGGCGGCUUGCCGCCGAGCCGUCGCCGUCGCCGGCCCUGAGCAGCCGUCGGCUGCUCUCACUCCUCCCUCCGUCCCCGGUCACACACAAUAAAGACACAAGAAGGCUCAAUUUCAGUCCAGAUUCACAUAUAGAAAGUUAGGGUUUUUGUUUAGAAAUUCUGUUCUUUCAUCAUUUCUUUUUAUCAGAUCUUGAAAUCCUUGUAAUUGUAAUAGUUAGGUGAAAAUAAUGAUUAUGAGUGUGUGUUUGUUUGUUGGUGGUCCUCUGAUGCUUGAUAAGAUGAUGUAAUUGAAGCAAUAAUAAUCUAAAAGAAGUUGUUUAUGCUGGAAAUAACCUUGAAGAGGCAGAUGAGGAUUUGUGGCUUCUGCAUAAAUGAUGCUAGGUGUUAGAAUGUAAUCCUCGAAAAAUUAAAUGGAGGAAAUAAACAAAAUUUACACACCUUGAUUCUUGAUUUGGAACUUGAAACAAACUUGAUAAUUUCUUUGAAGGACCCGUGAGGAGUAGGAGGAAAGAAAAUGGUAAUUUAGAAGAUUAGAGAGAGAGGAUUUCUUAAUGAGGAAUCUGCAAGAUGUAGUGCUGAAUAUGGAAUAUAGUGGUGGAGAAAUAAAAAAAUGAAGUGUGUGGAGAGUUAGGUGUAUUGGUGGGGAAAAAGGGUGUAGUAGUGGGGAGGUAGUGGAAUAAUGAUUAUUUAGUGGAAUGAGUGUAGAAGAUGGCCGGCAAUGAUGAGUGUAAAGAGUGUUUAGUGGAAUUAGUGGAAUUAGUGGAAUAAUUUGCAUAUGAUGAGUGUUUCCAACACCAUCAAUUUAUUUAAGAGAUAGAUGUAUGUGGAAAUGAAAAGUAUAUGAUAACGUAUUUG
rnacentral:lncRNA from 1 species